AAUUGACAAAACAAACCCAUAGGUUGACAAGCAAAAACCCAACCCAACCACCUUCAGUAAAAAAAAACUCUGCAAAUCCAAACGGUGCUCAUCAAUGGCGGAAAGCUAGUCCUUCUCUCCCAUGGCCGACGCCAAAGGAGCUCGCGAGCCAUUUCUUUCACAAGGGAAGUGGCUCUACCAAAUCUCCAAAUCCAUUACUCUCUCCGUUCCCUCCGACGCCCACAGAGCCCUUGAGAGUUUUCCCGUUGCUAAUCUCUCAUCAUCUUCCUCACAAUUCUCUCUGCGCCAAUCUUGGGGCUCGAGCUCUGCCGAGGACGACUAAAUGGGUGGGGUGGACUCGGUAUGGAAAACGGUGCGAAUGGACGAUUCGGUCGGCAGUGUGACAGGGUUUGGGUGCCGAAAGUGUGGAGAAGAAGGAAAUUAUCCAUAUGCAUUAAUGCAGACAAGCUCUUGACAACCGAAGAAGCAAGAAGGCGGCAACAAAUGUAUGAUGAACUCGCAUUAGGUGGUCUAGUUUCUCCCUGCAAUUUUGGUUGUGUGGGAGCAUCUUCCAUCUGGGAAUUCAUAUUUAAGAGUCAACAUUGAUGCCACAAGAAUUGCUCGAGCUGUUUCGCAUCAUUACCCUCGGAGCAAACAUAAUGGCUCUUUCUUGCUGUAGAGUAAGGUACGUCUGCUGCGGGGGCUUGAAUUAUGUUCUUAUAGCAGGGGAGAAAAAGGAAAUGAGAUUAACAUUUGGGGCUUCCAUAUAGGACAGUUACAUUGAGCCAUAAUUGCAAUGGUGACAUUGGGUGAUUGAUCCCACCAAUGCAAGUAACUACAGCUGUUUUGAUGCUCCAAAAGUGCUGACCAAGCCCUUGCUGUUUCCAAAUUAUGGGACUUUAGUAGUCGUGGGCAAGCUUCCUUUAUAUGAUUAGUAUGGUUCCACACACACCUUAGAAAUUAAAGUACACAUUUAUUUAUUUUUCCCUUUUAUGAUUUUAUAAAUGUGGGUACAUGCAGUUUUUAUGUCAAUGGGUAUUGGAUGUGGGUGGGUAUUAUAAUAUGUAGUUUUUGAUCCAUAGUUGAUCUAUCUUUCUUCU